UACGGAGGGAGCUAGCGUUAUUCGGAAUUACUGGGCGUAAAGCGCACGUAGGCGGCUUUGUAAGUAAGAGGUGAAAGCCUGGAGCUCAACUCCAGAAUUGCCUUUUAGACUGCAUCGCUUGAAUCAUGGAGAGGUGAGUGGAAUUCCGAGUGUAGAGGUGAAAUUCGUAGAUAUUCGGAAGAACACCAGUGGCGAAGGCGGCUCACU
rnacentral:rRNA from 1 species